UACGGGGGGGGGCAAGCGUUUGUUCGGAAUUACUGGGCGUAAAGGGCUCGUAGGCGGCCAACUAAGUCAGACGUGAAAUCCCUCGGCUUAACCGGGGAACUGCAUCUGAUACUGGAUGGCUGGAGUUCGGGAGAGGGAUGCGGAAUUCCAGGUGUAGCGGUGAAAUGCGUAGAUAUCAAGAGGAACACCUGAGGUGAAGACGGGUUGCUGGGCCGACACUGACGCUGAGUGCGCGAAAGCCAGGGGAGCAAACGGGG
rnacentral:rRNA from 1 species